rnacentral:rRNA from 1 species
GACGAACGCUGGCGGCGUGCUUAACACAUGCAAGUCGAACGGAAAGGCCCUGCUUUUGUGGGGUGCUCGAGUGGCGAACGGGUGAGUAACACGUGAGUAACCUGUCCCUGACUGUGGGAUAACAUCAGGAAACUGGGGCUAAUACCGGAUAGGAGCUCCUGCUGCAUGGUGGGGGUGGGAAAGAUUCGGCGGUUGGGGAUGGACUCGCGGCUUAUCAGCUUGUUGGUGGGGUAGUGGCUUACCAAGGCUUUGACGGGUAGCCGACCUGGGAGGGUGACCGGCCACAUUGGGACUGAGAUACGACCCAGACUCCUACGGGAGGCAGCAGUGGGGAAUAUUGCACAAUGGGCGGAAGCCUGAUGCAGCAACGCCGCGUGCGGGAUGACGGCCUUCGGGUUGUAAACCGAUUUCGCCUGUGACGAAGCGUGAGUGACGGUAAUGGGUAAAGAAGCACCGGCUAACUACGUG